GAACUUUCUGGAAGUGAACAAAACAUUGACUAAGUAAUGAACACGUACACUCGUCUAAAUAGUCACUACUUCAUGUAACAGCCUUUAAAGUUUCAAUACUGAUAACCAGUAAAUGUAGGACUCAUGGAUUCUGUGACUGAGUGUGGAAAUGAAACAGCCAUAGUCAGCACUCAAUGCUCCAUGCCAAAUGAAGGAAAGAAUGAUGUGUUAAAAAAAUUCAUUUGAAUAUAAAUAUGCUGCCUCUCUUGGGAGUUUAUAUAUCUUCAAGUUAAACAACCAGACUUUGAAACAUCUGGAGAAGUUGGAAAAUGAGGAGUUAAAAAUGCUUCUUCAAUCUGGGAAAGGACGGGCUAAUGUAAAACCCCACUUGGAGUUGGGGCUACUGUACUCUACAUGUGUUGGGCCACACACCUCACUAGGACACAGAGACCAUUAUGAAGGCUUCCACGACACUCUCGGGGAGCCCCUGUGGGCCUACCGGAAACAGUCACAUCCGUAAAGUGACAGAGCCAAGAAGCUAAUGGUGUUGACAGGAACUAUCAACAUUAGACUUGCUAAAUAUGUGCCUCCUCCAGGACUGUUUGUUAGAAGUGUUAAAAGAAAAACUCUUUGUGAUAGAAAAAGCUCAUGACUGGGAAGCAGAGCCCAGAUUAGACCUCGGGUCUCCUAGCAUCUAAUGGCUUUGGGCAGGUCACUUGGUCCACCUGGUCUCAGGAUCCUUCUAAUUUCUAAGAAGGGUCCUGUGGCCUGGACUCCUUUGUGAUCAGACGAACAUGGCCCCCAUCAUUCUUGACCUUGUCCAGUGAGGCUACAGCAACAUCUUCUUUGCUAAUGUAUCUAAAACAAUUACAUGGUGAGUAGAUUUCCUCUCUCUUCUGAGUUUCUCUAUUUCAUGAUCACGUUACUCUUUGUAAAAGCAAUAGGAGAGAAAGCAAGAUGGGGUCUUUAUUGUGCUAAUACUAAAAUUAGGGCAUAGAAUUUUCUAUGCUAACAUUGGUCUCCACGUGUGGGAAAGACACCUCUGUUCCAAAUUAGUUUCUUAAGAUUUAUUUUUCUAAGACAUUCAGAGUCACUCAAUAUCCUUUGGACCAAUUUUCACUUAGGGGAUAAGAGGAGUGGGUGUAGGAAUAAGAAGUGAUCAAAUACAUGCACAACUGACAUCCUUGAGUAAAUACCUUGUUGAGCUGUGCGGAUAAUCUCUCACUGCAUUUUUACCUCCCUUUUGGCCUUUUCUUCAAGGUCCCUCAAAUCACCUCAAUCAUUUAUAAUGGUGUAUCAGCAUAUUCGGGUAAAGAGAUUCUCUUUUUAGUUAACCAGGUUCAAUAACAACUUCUAUAAUCCCAAGGUUGUUUCCAUUAUUGUCAGCCAUACAGAGUUUAUGGAAUCUUCCACUGAAAUAAAGCCACUCUUGAUGUGGGAUUCAGAACCUUAUUACACAACACUAUCAAUACCACACAAUGAUUUAGGGACUGGAAGUAAAGAGGAAAGUUAUUCCAAUUAAAGGUGACGGGGGAAUUUAAGUAGGUAAAAUGCAAUUACCCAAUUAAUUCCUUCUAAUUAGCAUGGCCCACUUUCUCUGGCAGUUUACACUUUUGUAGCUUUUUUUUUCCUUUUUAAUUAGUUUGAACAUGAAUGUCUUCAUAUUUCCAAGUACUUCCUAGUUUGCUAACUUGACAAUAAAAGUUAAAUCACAAUGGAAUGGCGCAAUAUUAGGUAAAAUCUUAGAAAUUUGCUUUUAUGUUAAAGUAGAUUUAAAAAUCAACAGAUUUUCUUGUUUUGAUAAGCUAUUAAUGUUUUGACUAGAUGAUACCUGCACAUAUAUCAAAACUCAAAAGGCAUGCAAUGGUGCUUAUGGUGAAGAGUAAGCUUACCUUCCAGUCCCAUCUCCUCCCCCAAAGCUAUCUCCGUGACCAAUUUCUUUUGGAGAGAUUUUUUUUUUCUGCGCAUAGGUUAUACCUUUUAUGAUCUCUGUAUUUUUAUUGGCAUAUAACUCACAUACCAUAAAAGUUACCAUUUUAAAGUGUACAAUUCAGUUCAUUUUAGUAUACUUACAAGGUGGUCCAACCAGCACCACUAAUUCCAGAACAUUUCAUCACCCCCAGAAGAAACCUGUGCUCAUUAGCAGUCCUCAUUACGCUUUUUA